rnacentral:rRNA from 1 species
CCGGGUGAGUAACACGUGACCAACCUGCCCUCGAGUGGGGAAUAACUCCGGGAAACCGGAGCUAAUACCGCAUAACAUCGCAAGAUCAAAGCCGCAAGGCGCUUGAGGAGGGGGUCGCGGCUGAUUAGCUAGUUGGUAGGGUAAUGGCCUACCAAGGCGAAGAUCGGUAGCCGGCCUGAGAGGGCGCACGGCCACACUGGAACUGAAACACGGUCCAGACUCUUACGGGAGGCAGCAGUGGGGAAUUUUGCGCAAUGGGGGAAACCCUGACGCAGCAACGCCGCGUGGAGGAUGAAGUCCCUUGGGACGUAAACUCCUUUCGACCGGGACGAUACUGACGGUACCGGGAGAAGAAGCACCGGCUAACUCUGUGCCAGCAGCCGCGG